UAGCGAAGCAAGUAAAAGAGUGUGCUAUAAGUUGUACAUCGGAAAAACAACAUGUAAAUCUAUAGAAUCAAUUUCCAUCUCUCACCUCAUGAAUUUGAGAUAGUCUUAUAUAAUAACUUUGGAAAGUGGUGGAAUGUCACAUUCUAAAAAAAUAGUCUAUUCCAUUAGUAAGAUUCCAAUUCCUCAAAAUGAAAGGAAACAAACGGGGCCUAAGAGUAUUUGAGAAUCCUCUUGGACUGGAUUUAGAUACAACUAAUAGACAAACAACAGUGUUGUCCGCGUUAGGACAUUCAUCUAGCAAUUCAUUAGAAUCAGAUGACUGGAUUGAACCUACUGCCUAUGUUCUUAACUCAACUGCUCUUCUUUCAAGGGAACAUAGGAAUGUUUUGGAUUCUUUCCGUCUGUUGCAAAAUGAUCCCACCGUUCACAAGCAGAGAGCAGUUAUAGUUGUUGGGUUUGAACUCUGAACACAUAUUUUUGACCAAAUACACCAUCAUAUGUAGUUUUACUAUUGUAAUUAAGUUGUAUCACAAAUUCACGGUAGUAUUCUCGUGAAGACCUCCAUUAUGACCUUGGAACAGAUUCUUGAAGCUAGCAAUUAUUUCUUCCGGUAUGUCUCAUUCUGGUGUGUAAGGUGAGAUGUAGCACUGUAGCUCCUCCCACCUCGGUGCAAGUGUAAACAUAAGAUGACAUCUGCACUUUUAGCUUGGAACUAGACGAUAAGUUGAAUUGUAGAUAAGUUGAAUUGUACGUACAAUCUUGUUCUUCAUGUGCCUAUUUCUUAUUCUCAAAAUUACUUUACAUUACCUUAUUUACAUAUUUCUUGUAUUUACGUGUUUUAAUUUUUCAGUAGGUUCUACUUCUGCACUUGGAACCAUCAACAAAGAGUCAAAGAGUAAAGAUGUUAUUCCACGAUGACGUGUUUCAUACAUUAUUUAUCUUUACGUUAUGUUUUGUUGUAGAUUUUUAAUUGUUAUUUUCUAUUUUAGUAUUGCAUUGUAUGGUUGUUUCCUUGAAACCACAUUCACACUCAUCUCUAUAGCAAUGAACGGACACUUUGU